UACGUAGGGUGCGAGCGUUAAUCGGAAUUACUGGGCGUAAAGCGUGCGCAGGCGGUGAUGUAAGACCGAUGUGAAAUCCCCGGGCUUAACCUGGGAACUGCAUUUGUGACUGCAUCGCUGGAGUGCGGCAGAGGGGGAUGGAAUUCCGCGUGUAGCAGUGAAAUGCGUAGAUAUGCGGAGGAACACCGAUGGCGAAGGCAAUCCCCUGGGCCUGCACUGACGCUCAUGCACGAAAGCGUGGGGAGCAAACAGG
rnacentral:rRNA from 1 species